AUGAUUUGGGUGCUAAAAUAGAUGAGAGGUGUCAAUAUUUUGGUCAACUUGGAUGUUUUAGGUGGUUUUGGACUGUUCCAGAUGGGUGGGGGACCUGGUAUGGACAAGUAAGGGUAACAUUUCCAACAAAUCUUAAAUGUAAAUAUUAUUAUGUCCAUAGAUUGAAGUUUCAGGUGGAGAGAAAGAUGAAAAAUAUGCAAAAUUACAUGCAUGCAACCCAUUUAUGCCAUUUUUCUCUUUGUUUGUAGGCCUGACCGUUUGUCCUUGAGCCGUAGAUGGUCAACAAUCCGCUAGCUGUCUUGCUCUGACUGGUGCACUGGACAUGAUUUCAAUAGUCAGCCAGACCAUGAUUGAGCUUAAGGGUUGUGCCGCGGAUGCAGCCUGUGCAGUUCCGGGAGAAAGUCACUGUCUUGGGCAAUGCGGUCUGGUAUCAGGUCUGGAUGAUCAUUGUCUGACUGCGGGUUUGUGUACACCUCAAUCCGACUCUGUGUCCUGAACAGAGGCCGCAGUGGUGCAGCCGUUGUGGACGAUCCAUCAACAUCCUGAAAGGUCAACACUACACCAAGCUUGGAAAAUUGAUCCUGAUAGUCAUCCCCAGGUAGUGGAAUGAAUGUUCACUGAACUACAGAGGAAUCACACCCAAAUGACUUUCCUGCCACGACAUUAGUGUGGCCACUCGCGUAGGAAUUCCUUAGCAAACAUGCUCUUUUGCAUGGUGACUGUGGACAUUUUUGCAAAACUUACGCUUUCAACACUGGAUUUUAAAGAGAAUACUUAAUAAAAUGUCGCUAACAGGACUUAUUUAUAUGAGAGAGACUAUCUGGAUGCGCAUUAAGUGUCACUUUGUGUCGUAAGCUGUUGACGGAGCGAUUUGCGCCUUUUUAAGUGUUAAUUUUGGGUAGCCGGCUUGUAUCGGCUUGAAAGCUGCAAAUUAUGCCUCUCAUCAUAAUAGCAUUAAUUUUUGUAAUUGCAAUGUGUAUGUUUAGAUUGUAAGUGAAGCUUUUAAUAAUAAUUUUCUUAAAAAACAUGAUUUUAUAUGCUCUCAGUGAGUUUUUUAUUGAAAAAAGUGCUUAAAAUUAAAAAAAAGUCUCCUAUUUCAUCAAGAAAAGUACACUGAUUCACAAUCAAUACAUUUAUUUGGGCCUUUUGCUGAUAUAUUGGUGAAUUUCGCAUGCAAUGAUACCAGUUUUUGCCAUGAAAGUUACGCGUAACAAUAAUUGGAGACGCAAAAUCAGCUGUCGUCACUUAGACUAAAAAUCAUGCAUUCCGACUUGACUGCGGCCAAUUUAGUCACCGCUUUAAAUGGCCAUUUUAAGGCCUUUACCCCAAUCCGAAUGCACUGAAAUUGCAUAUUCAUUGUGGAAAUAGUUGAAAUCUCAUGUGGAGAAAGUUUGAAAAAGAUAGGACAAAGUUGAGUUCCCUUAAAGGUUACAUUACACUAAAUCAUUGUGUAUCCCUCCGUGGUCCAUUCGAAAGUAGUGCCUAUUUCUAAAGAGUUCCUUUUCUCUUCUUGAAUAUAAGCCAUUUCACAAUGUGAGACAUGUCUUUUGUGGUUAUUUGUAAUAUCCUGUAUGUGUCUGGAGUACUUUGAUGCCUUGGAUUGGAAGCUAACUUAAAAGAUGAACUUUUGAGGGUGUGUUUUCUAUUGUGUGGGGCUUUUGUCGAAAUUAGGAUUCCGAAACACGUUUUUCUACGGUGGGUUCAUUCGACAGCGAUUUACUUUCUUAGAAGUUGAGAGACGGUAUGUUUUUGAUUGCAAUUAUUGGAAGAUGACAGAUCCAUCUUUAAAAUGAUACCAGGUUCGGAAAAA